UAACGGCGAGUGAACGGGGAUCAGCCCAGCACCGAAGCCUGCAUCCGUUUGGGUGUAAGGCAAUGUGGUGUUUAGGUGAUCACAUGUUGAUUCCUCUACUGUCCCAAGUCCAGUAAUGAAUAUGGCUAUAUUAAUGGCCCAGAGAGGGUGAAAGGCCCGUGGGGGCAGUAUUGGCAGGUUUUGACUUGUGGUCUCCUUGGAGUCGGGUUGUUUGUGAAUGCAGCCCAAAUUGGGUGGUAGACUCCAUCUAAGGCUAAAUAUUUACACGAGUCCGAUAGCGAACAAGUACCGUGAGGGAAAGUUGAAAAGUUACUCU
rnacentral:rRNA from 1 species